rnacentral:rRNA from 1 species
GAUGAACGCUGGCGGCGUGCCUAAUACAUGCAAGUCGAGCGAACAGAUGAGGAGCUUGCUCCUCUGACGUUAGCGGCGGACGGGUGAGUAACACGUGGAUAACCUACCUAUAAGACUGGGAUAACUACGGGAAACCGGAGCUAAUACCGGAUAAUAUAUUGAACCGCAUGGUUCAAUAGUGAAAGACGGUUUUGCUGUCACUUAUAGAUGGAUCCGCGCCGCAUUAGCUAGUUGGUAAGGUAACGGCUUACCAAGGCAACGAUGCGUAGCCGACCUGAGAGGGUGAUCGGCCACACUGGAACUGAGACACGGUCCAGACUCCUACGGGAGGCAGCAGUAGGGAAUCUUCCGCAAUGGGCGAAAGCCUGACGGGGCAACGCCGCGUGAGUGAUGAAGGUCUUCGGAUCGUAAAACUCUGUUAUUAGGGAAGAACAAAUGUGUAAGUAACUAUGCACGUCUUGACGGUACCUAAUCAGAAAGCCACGGCUAACUACGUG